UUCAGCCAGCAUGGGACUGGUGAGGAAAAGGCUGUGCUGGACUCCUCACCGGCCGGCUACCUGACCUUGGUGUUGAGCUUCAGGUCCACGUUGGUGCUGAUGUAGAGAUAGCAGCCAGAGGUCUCUGUGGAUCAAAGCUGCAGUUGGACCUUGGGCCUGUAGCUGGAGGGGGAUGUGGCAGAGUACAGCAGUCUGCUGCCCUCAGUAGCCAGGGAGACCUUGUCAGGGCAUCCACUGGCCAAGUCAAAAGGACAGAAAGGUUCAUCUCCCUCAUCCUCGACAGACAUAAACUUCAGCAAGGUGAACAGCCACCCAGGACACCAGCCCACACACAUGGAAGGACCGUCAUGGACCACAGGGCAUCCUCUCCCAGCACCACCUAGUGAGAGAGGCAGGAAGAAGGGAGCCUCCAGGGAAGACUGAACACCUCUCCCUAAAUAAUAGACUGAGCGUACAUUUCCUAAAUGGCCAGUUGAGAUGACUAGAUCAAACUCAGUUUAGACUCAUUGGACAUUCGAUGAAUUUUCCUGCAGCAAGUAGUGAUCUGGAAAAAGACCAGAUCAGCAACAGAAAAAAUAAAGACCUUAUAUCCUCUCUGCAUGUCUGCUUUGUAGUGUGAGUUACAUUGGUGAUUCUGCACAUUGUUGAGGUUCUACAUAAAAAUAGCAAGUAAUUGAGAAAGUUCAAUAUCUCUUGCCAGAGUCUUCUUUAAGUCCCAGCAGAUAAAGGAAUGCUUUGGGAGACUUUAGCGCGUGGAGCCAUGAAUCCUUCUAGCAUCCAUGAAAGACAGAGAGA